GAUCUUUAUUUUUGUUUUUUAUAAAUUAAUUAGAUAAAAAAAAUUUAUAAUAAAAUUAAAAAUUUUACUGGGGUGGUAUUAAAAUUUAAAAAACUUUUAUUUUUAUUUACAUUAAUAUAUGAAUAUUUGAUCCAAUAAUAUUGAUUAAAAAAUUAAGUUACCUUAGGGAUAACAGCGUAAUUUUUUUUUAGAGUUCAUAUCGACAAAAAAGAUUGC
rnacentral:rRNA from 1 species